rnacentral:rRNA from 1 species
GACGAACGCUGGCGGCGUGCCUAAUACAUGCAAGUCGAACGCAGUGGGGACGGGUGAGUAACCCGUGGGUAACCUCCCAUCAGAGGGGAUAACACUUGGAAACAGGUGCUAAACCGAUACUGAUGGAUGGACCCGCGGUGCAUUAGCUAGUUGGUGAGGUAACGGCUCACCAAGGCCACGAUGCAUAGACGAACUGGGAGGGUGAUCGGCCACACGGGGACGGGGCCACGGCCAAGAGUCCUACGGGAGGCAGCAGUAUGGAAUCGUCGGCAAUGGACGAAAGUCUUACCGAGCAACGCAGCGUGAGUGAAGAAGGUUGUCGGAUCGUAAAACUCUGUUGUUAGAGAAGCGGUAUCUAACCAGAAAGCAACGGCUAACUACGUGCCAGCAGCCGCGGUAAUUC